GGGAUCUGGCAGUGGGGAGGUGUCAGUGGCAGGUAUUAAAUGAUGUCACAGGCCUGGCAAAAUGACCGACCACCGGCCUCGCUGAGGAACCUCUCCCAGUCACGAGAAUCUAGUGUCCAUUCAUCCGGGACUGACCAUCUUGCUCCUUACUUGAGGGUCAUCCUUUCAGACACCCGACCCUCAGCAACCGUUUACAUGGAAAUAAAAGCGCCUUCUAAAUUUGUUGUAGAGUAAGAAGUUUAAGGAGUGCCCUAGUUCAGAGUACCAUAAUUAAGAAUUGCUAAAAGUACCAAAAGGGGAAACUGAUGCAGCUCCCUAUCUAGUUAAAAUCUUAUUUAAGUAUUGUGGCAUGAGGUGUGAUCGUAUCUAUUUCACUAAUAUUUAUUGAACAUCCAACAUGUGCCAGCACGGAAGCGACAUAAAGUGUAACACUAGAACAGACACUGUCUUCAUGACGCUCACACUUGCGGAAGCAAAAGUGAGACUGCCCUGCUGUAAUUUUAACAGUGUACCUUUACAAUAAAUCCUUAAUUUAAAAACCUUAGAAUGUUUAAAUUGUCGAAAACAGUUUGGAAAUAGAUUUUGUGAUAAAGCUGUCUUCAUUGUAUCUUAGGAUUAUUUUUACGCAGUGUGGAAAGAAAGAUUAAGUAAAAAUUCUUUGUGGUCUAAUGUCAUCAAUGGAGACAACUGAAAAUUAAAAUAAGAUGGUUACAUUACUGCCUUGGAAAUAAAAAUGUAUCUAGAGGACUUAAAAAAAAAAAGUGUACAUUAAAUCCCACAGGAGGGAAAAAUACGAAGAAGAGCAAGACGCUUUCAAGCCUAAGACCCUUACCAAACUACUCUUAUGUCUGGUGUCUGAAAUGAAUGAAAUCUUGAGUUUUCCCUAUCAGCUACUGAAUCUACAAUGAGAACCAUUUUAUUCCUGACUUUUGAAUAUGGAAAUUUGGAAAUAUGUCAUUUGUGACAUAUCUCCCCAUUUAAGCAUACUAUCUAUGCCUAAGAGAUAAAUGUAAACAUGGUAAUCUUUACAUUUUUCCUUUAAAUAUUGGUUGUAUUUGAAGUCUGCACAUCUUUGCAAAUAAACUUAUCUUUUCUAAA
rnacentral:lncRNA from 1 species